AGAGGCGCCUGCUCGGGUUCAGCCUUGCGCCUCGGCAGCCCGCCGGCUCCCAGUCCGGCUCCACGGGCGCUGCAGGUGACCCGGCGGCGCAUUCCAGCACUCCCCGCCGCCCGGGCCACCGCCGCCACCGCCACCGCAGGCGCCCCGGCCGCGACUCAGCCACAGGAAAGCGGAGAGCGCCCGAGCCGGUGCGUGCGCGGGGCUGGGCGGGGGCGGGGGACCCACGAAUCCAGCAGCCCGGACCCCGGGCUCGGAAACGCGACCCGGCCUGGGGCUCCUGCCUUCCGGAUUCCCGGAGAUCCCAGGCUGGGGGCAGGGAGAGGGGAGUCGGGGUUCCCCAGGCCAGACAGAGGAGAUUCCCCCUCGACCUGGGGCGGCGCUGAGACCCAACGCGGGCCACUCUGCGGACUCCGGGCCGCGAUCGAAGGAGCCACGCCAGGGGCGAUGGGGAUCCCCGCACAGGGUCAGGAUCCGCGUGCUUGCUAGUCCACCUUACCGCCGGAUGGGCAGCCGCUGCUGAGCGCCUGCUAGGUGGUCCGACGCGCAGCUCCGAGCUGUCCUGGACUGGCGCUUUUUAGGAGCGAAGGGGAACCCCGCAGGAGACCAGGGCCCUGAACUCAGGGGCUUCGCCACUGAUUGUCCAAACGCAAUUCUUGUACGAGUCUGCGGCCAACCGAGAAUUGUGGCUGGACAUCUGUGGCUGAGCUCCGGGCGCAACAGGGGCGGGGGCCCCAGGGACAGGGCUCAGCGCGGGCGAGACCUCUCGGGGCGGCGGCUGGCUGGCCCCAGCGCGAGGAUCGCGGUCCCGGCCCGCGCGCACAGAGACGCCGGUCCCUGCCACCAGCGCCGCCAUCCGCAUCCUCGUCCUUCUUCCUUCUCUGCGGGUGACCAGUCCCGGCCGGCAGGGUCCUUCAGUCGAUCGCGUCGUUUUUCCUCCUUUCAAAUUUCGGCCGGAACGAAGCCGGCACGCAGCGGCGGGGCCGAAUGUGGUCCGCCCUCAGCCCAAGCCGCAUGAAGUCGGGGGUGAAAGAAGAGGCCGGCCGAAUGCGCCCGCUAACUCGUUUCGCAGUUGUUCUAACUUAUCACCCCAAUACUCCCUACCUAAACAAAACAAAUCCUCAACCAACCCCUAAAUCCCAAACAAACCAACCCCUCCCGCAAGCCCCUCCGGACGGACCGAUGGGCUGAGCCUCCUCCAGCCGCUGCCAGGGUCCGACGGGCAAGCGUCACCAACGAUGCGCUCCAGCCCGGCAAUCUCCUCGGCUUUGGAAAUAGAAUUUGGAAAAACGAAUCCUUUUCAUUAAAGAAAAAUCUUCGGAGAUAGCGGGGUUUUAUUUGUUUAUUUCCUCAAAACCAGGGAAACGGAUCCUAGCGCCCAGUUUCCAGGACCUGAAAUCUAGUGUGUUCCAAUCAGGUGCACUGAUGGGGCCGCUCCUGCAGCUCAGGGGGCUGCAGAUGGGGAGGGACCUCCAGGUUACAAGAAUCGGACAGGCUGACCUUCUAGAAGUGCAGCUGUAGGGAGCUGUUCCAAGUCUCUUGCUCUGUUCCCUAACAUGGAGACCCUGACCUCAGGAACUAGUGAGGGUUGGUCACACAGCCUUUCUGGACAGCACUCAGACCCCAACACUGGCCUUAAUUUGCACCCAGACCAGCUCCUCCCCAUAGUCCCAACACGGCUGCUCCCACUCCACACAAGCCCAGAGGGUCUCUACCUGCAGUAGUCCUGGAGAAAAGCCCCAAGACUUCCAGAAGGGAAGGGGAGGAGGGGCAAAGCACUGUGCCUACCAG
rnacentral:lncRNA from 1 species